rnacentral:rRNA from 1 species
UACGUAGGGGGCAAGCGUUGUCCGGAUUUACUGGGCGUAAAGGAUGCGUAGGUGGAUAUUUAAGUGGGAUGUGAAAUACCCGGGCUCAACUUGGGUGCUGCAUUCCAAACUGGAUAUCUAGAGUGCAGGAGAGGAAAGUGGAAUUCCUAGUGUAGCAGUGAAAUGCGUAGAUAUUAGGAGGAACACCAGUGGCGAAGGCGACUUUCUGGACUGUAACUGACACUGAGGCAUGAAAGCGUGGGGAGCAAACAGG